rnacentral:rRNA from 1 species
AACGAACGCUGGCGGCAGGCCUAACACAUGCAAGUCGAGCGAGGACUUCGGUUCUAGCGGCGGACGGGUGCGUAACGCGUGGGAAUGUGCCCUUCUCUACGGAAUAGCCCUGGGAAACUGGGAGUAAUACCGUAUACGCCCUAUUGGGGAAAGAUUUAUCGGAGAAGGAUCAGCCCGCGUUGGAUUAGGUAGUUGGUGGGGUAAUGGCCUACCAAGCCGACGAUCCAUAGCUGGUUUGAGAGGAUGAUCAGCCACACUGGGACUGAGACACGGCCCAGACUCCUACGGGAGGCAGCAGUGGGGAAUCUUAGACAAUGGGGGCAACCCUGAUCUAGCCAUGCCGCGUGAGUGAUGAAGGCCUUAGGGUUGUAAAGCUAUUUCAGCUGGGAAGAUAAUGACGGUACCAGCAGAAGAAGCCCCGGCUAACUCCGUG